rnacentral:lncRNA from 1 species
UAGGGGGAUCGGAGGCGAGGAAGGUGGGGGGGCCGGCGGCGACGCCGCUCUGUCUUCGCCGCUCUAUGGGAAGAGAAAGAAAAAAAAGAACGAGAGAAAAAAAAAGAAAAGAAAAAGGUAUAAGGGCACCUCCGCUCCGUUUUUGCCGCUCUCUGGGAAGAAAAAGAAAAAAGAACGAGAGAAAAAAAAGGAGAGAGAAAGAGGAAAGAGAAAAAUGUAUAAGGGUAUUUUGGUCAGUUUGCUGAAAAAGCGGACCGAAUCUGCAAAAGCCAAAAAGAUGACCCGAUUUUGCAAAAGCCCAAAAUAAGUGAAUUUUUUAUGCAAAUUGGCCAAAUAAUUUAUUGUUCAGAUAAACUUUUUUUUUUUCUUAGCUUUAAAUUGACAUCUCGCACGCUGUUUAUUGAGCCUGAUGGUCGUUGUGUGGGGACGUUCUCCCCUAACGAAACACAACGAAUUUAAGUACUAUUUUUAGAAACGUGUGUUAUUACUACAAAAAUCGUGCAAAAAAUUAAUUGUACGGGCCAUGAUAAAUGGAUAGUUGUUGGAUUGAUGUGAUUGGACAGGUAAAAUUUGUACUACGGCUUAGUUUGGUAUUGAGACCUAUCUAACGCUAUUUGAUAAAAUGGAGUUGAGAAAAAAGCAUAUAGGGAUAUUUUCUGCGUUCUCCGAUGGGACCGCAGAAAAUAUAUUGUAACCGACUCAUCUCGAUAUGCGGAACGCAAUAUUACGUAUGGAAAAAAAAAUGGUAUUUUUCCAACGUACUUUCUCACCGCACGUAACGCAAUCUUUCUACAAUCCUAAGCCUACAUAAUUAUGAAAUGGCUGCGAACUUAGGA